rnacentral:rRNA from 1 species
CCAGACUCCUACGGGAGGCAGCAGUGAGGAAUAUUGGUCAAUGGCCGAGAGGCUGAACCAGCCAAGUCGCGUGAGGGAUGACGGCCCUACGGGUUGUAAACCUCUUUUGCCGGGGAGCAAAGAGCGGGACGCGUCCCGCCUCGAGAGUACCCGGAGAAAAAGCAUCGGCUAACUCCGUGCCAGCAGCCGCGGUAAUACGUAGGGGGCAAGGCUUAUCCGGAUUUACUGGGUGUAAAGGGAGCGUAGACGGCAGAGCAAGUCUGAAGUGAAAGCCCGCGGCCCAACUGCGGGACUGCUUUGGAAACUGCCCGGCUAGAGUGCUGGAGAGGUAAGCGGAAUUCCUAGUGUAGCGGUGAAAUGCGUAGAUAUUAGGAGGAACACCAGUGGCGAAGGCGGCUUACUGGACAGUAACUGACGUUGAGGCUCGAAAGCGUGGGGAGCAAACAGGAUUAGAUACCCCUGUAGU